AGGAGGCAUUUGCCACAUCAACAGAGCACAGCCGUGCAACUCAGUGUGCUGCUGGUAGGUGGCAUCGUGGCUACCUUCUGGGUAUCCAGCCACACCUGCCCCGAUGAGCGGCAGCCUCUUAUAACUGUUUUGGGUUGGUCCAAGCCAGUGGUUCACAAGCCUGGCUAUACAUUAGAAUCGCCUGGGAAGGAUCUCUGAUGCCCAGAAACUCCAAUAGCAACUGGAUGGCAAUCCCUGGAGUGUGGGGUGACUCUCACGUGCAGUGGCAUUGACAGUGGCUGGUACAAACCAUCAGAGGACCCUCAUCCCUUUGCCACAAUGAUUGGUUCAGAGAUGGGUAGUGGCCUGAGGCCCACGCCAGUCAGCGUCUUAUGAGGUAUUAACAUUUGGAACAAUGGGGCUGAGUCAGAACUUCAUAUCAGGUGCAACAUCAAGUCUAUUCAUUUAUUUUAUUUUUGUUGGAGCACAGAGGGUGUUGUAGCAAAGGGAAGAAGAACACAGAUGGCAUGUUUUGCAAUAUUUGGGUAUCUUUGCAAUGGGCUCCUCCAAAAAUCAUUAAUUAUUUCAUCUUGGAGAGCUCACCUUCCAGUUUUUCAGGAUCCGGAGGCUGAAAUUAUUCAUCUUCACUCUGAACUGUUCAACUGUUUGUUUGUUCAAGUCCGUAAGAUCGGCUUUUUGUUAAAACUGCCUUCUCUUGGAUACAUCGAUGAGAAAAGGUCACACCCUCUACCCAUUGGGCAUUUGAGCACAGAGUUACAAUGCAGAUUCUCUUGGCAAGCCUCCAAUUGCGCUUUCUGGAACUUCUCUUUCCAGCCAUUCAUACAGGCUUUUCCAGAUCACAGAUGAAAACCUCUUACUUCCUUUGUCACUCCCAUAGACUAAAGCUCCUUCUUUGUGAAGAUGACUCAAGGAGGGAGAGGAGGAGAAGCCACAGCCCAUCAAUGUCUCUGGGCAUCACACCCUACUUGGCUGGGCAUUUCUGAUAGGCACAACCCUCUGGUAGCAGAAAGAGAUCGCUAGGCUAGGCUCGUACUCAGAAGUGAAGAGUGCAAAAUAACUGGAAAGAAGGUGACCCAAGCCUUCCUUCUGAUGUUAGCUUCUUAUGACCCGGAGAAGAAAGAAAGCGUGCUUGUCACAAACGCUGUCUCUAGCACAGUGCCUGCCACGUGGUAGACAUGAAUUACCUGCCCGAUGGAUGAAUAUACGGGAAGAGCAAAAGUUCGACAACUGCCAGAUUUGGUUUUAAGUACCGUUAGUGACCCAGACCUGGAAUGCGUAAGUUAUCGUCAAAGGCCAGUAUUCGCAGGGCUGGGCGCUCCCUAGCUGUACUCUGUCUGCCUGUUUGUUGCUCCACUAAGUCACUUGGACGAUAGAAGUGGUGGCCUAGCAAGUGAAAUAGCUUGUGCGAAGGCAGCUUACACAGCCCCUACUGCUCAGAUACUCAGUGAAGGACAACCCAUCACCUUCCAGACACUCUUGGUUCCAGCUGCUAGCCCACCCACGUGUGUGCGAGCUCCACCUCCUCACCACAUCGUUCUGCCGUCACACUUCAGAUUUGUCCCUCCCUCUCCCCUUUCAGAAGAUGAGCUCCUUGAAGACAAGAACCAAGUCGUACCUUGGUUUCCUCUCUCCCUGGCACAGCGAGUCCUCCCUAUGUGUCUACUGAAGGAAUUAAAACAAGGCUGUGGGGCAUGCUGGCAAAAUCGUAUUUUGAGAUCUUCCUGGUUAAACAAAAUAACUAUAAAGAUCAUCCCGUAGAGAGUUUAAGUCUGAAUUCUGCCUCCGCCUCACGGUCCUCUGGGGAAGGUGCUUAGUAACCAGGGCCCCUUUAGGUCAUCUGUGUAGCAGACAACGUGGUUCUAGGUAGCUUGCAGCUUUAGAAUUCUACGAGUUCAAGCUACUUCUCGUAAAAAAAAUUUAGCCCCUGACUAGAUUUGUUCACAAACUGAACCUGUUUGGAGGCCGCAGUAACUACAGGUGAAAGUGGAAUUUUCUAAAUCACCUCUCCCACCUCAUUCCGUGUAGAGAAGACUUGGAAUAAAAGAAAAGCUUUCUUUGGAAAGAAAUCAUGACCAAUCAUGAUUUGUCAUGAUUUCUUCCAUCCCUGCAGGAAAGCCACAGGAAAAACAGGUUUUCUCUAUAGAAACACGACUACAACAUACACCUUCAGGAAUGGCCUCACGUUUAAGUGCCUGUGAAUAAAUCAAUUCCUUUGAUUUUGCUCUAACCAAGACCCUCCCACAGCCAUGAGGCCUGUCUUCUUUCAGCCAGAGAAAACUCACAGCUUAAAGGCAGACAGAAGCCCAUUCUACUGUUCCCGGCUGUAAGUUUUGUGGUGGCCGGCCUCCAACAUGGCCUGCAGUAAUCCCUCCCCGCUGGUCUUCAUGUCUUUGUGUCAGCCUCUCCCACUGUCCCACACUGUACAGAAUUGUCUGUGUGAUCAACAGAAUACAGAGAAGCUAUGAUAUGCCACUUCCCAAACUCAGUUAUAAAAGACUAUGGCUUCAGACCUGGGCUCAUAUUCUCUCUCUCUCUUGUCCCUUGCCCUAGCGGAGGCCAGUUGCCAUGGGAUGAAGAGAUUCAGGCAAACAGUGGAGAGGCCCAUGAUAAGGCAGAAAACUGAAAUCCCUGCUAACAGCUGUGAACUGCCCCAUUUUGAGGAUGAUUUGCUACGAUAUUACUGCCACUGCAGUGUGUAAAUAUCACUGGCAGAUUGAGAGCAGAAAUAUUUUUCAAAUAACUGUGCCCGGAUCCUGUCUCUAUAAGUGUCUGUCUCUGCCCAUAGAAUACGAGCUCUACAAGGAAUUUGUUCUUUUGUCAUUUUUGUUCAUUGAAGAACCCCAAGGGCCUGGAACUUGACAGCUGGUAGACAUACAACAAAUACUUCCUGACUGAUGCUGGCUAUCAUCCCACGACUGCACUGUUCAUGAAGAUCAACCAACUCCUCAUGCUCUACUCCUUGACCACUGAGAGUCCUCGGGUUUCUUUUUCAAGAAAAUACUGAGCAGCCGGUGAAAAAUUCUACUUACCAAGUGAUUACAUUUUCUUGAAAACUUAUUCUGGCUAUGACUCAGCCUCAGGAGCUUGGUUGGUGUGAAUAUACCCUGGCUCCAGGUUCAAAGAAGCUCCACGCAGCUCUGCAGGUGGGUUCAACCCAGACACAUGGCUCUCAGUCUGCAAACAUCAUGUCUUCACUGCACAGCCUGCCCUCAUCGAGAAGGGUGUCUCCAGUCUUUCCAAGAACAUGACACAUGACAAAGUUAGGACAGGACUGUAGACUCUCCAAGCUCCCUAUUAUACAUGCCAUGGUUUAAAGAAUCAGAGUUUUCCUGAAAGAGGUAAGUUAACCUUGACUUGCCGAGUAUUUGGACAGUCACAAAAAGCCAUGGUAAGCAAUAAUUGUUCUGCUGGGACUUUACAAUAUCAAAAUCAGACAUUGAUGUCUGUCCACCCCAUGCAUUCCCCUCCCUCUGUGUGCAAGAAUUGAUUUCCACUAGUUGGAAUUCACACAAUAAAGGAAACUUUUGUUUUCAAUUCUGCUGAUGAGAGAGACAAUUAUAUGCGACCUCCUCAUUGAUUGACUGUGCUGUUUUCUUAGAUUUACUUCUUGGGAGAAUCGUUAAACAUAAGAGAAAAUGAUUUGUUUCCAUCGACUGGAUGAUGUGUCCAUCUGACAGCCCUGGUUUUUAUAUUAAAGUUAUUAUGUCAUUAAUGUAAUUUGCAGAAUCAAGAAGAAAUCACUCAGGUUCUGAUUGUAUUGCUGGUUAUGUUUUUUUCAAAUAAAUAAAAACUUUUUAAAGGAGAUAAAUCUGGUGACAACAAUAAUAGAUGAAGAGGCCAACUGCUCACUUCAUAAAUCACCACAAGCUUAAGGAAACUUGGUUACUUAAGUGCUGAGUGCUGCAAAGCUAGGUUUCUCAAAAUGUCCAUUUUCAUAUUGUGAAAUUCUUAGGAUCGCUGCUAAUUGCAAGUACUUAGGAAAGAUGACUUCCCAUUAUUAAAUUCCUUUCUCAUUCUCAUGGCUGUCUCACUGCUUAAGGUUAGUAAGUUACACGGAGCGUAGUAAAGCCGGGUUUGAUUCGGGUUUCCCCAAGUCUCCUCUGAACUUCGUGUGUUCGUGUCAGCUGGGGAGAUUGCGUGACUGUCAUUCUCAGUAACUUUUCUCUCCCCUGGCAACGACUGCCAAGAAAUUAAUUAUGACAAGCAAGGAAGCACUGAUGCCUUGUGGUCUGGCCCUGGCUGACUGCAAAACUCCAACCUCUGGGUGUUGAAAUUAAGUGAUCCUUGGAAUUUUCUAGAAAAAAAAAAUUGAUAUCGACAGGUGCAAUUUGUGGGCCCUCUUUCCCCAUUGGUUUUGAAGGGUCUUAUCUACCACUUCUAGCUACUUUUGGAGCACAGGGCUAGUCGUGCAUAUUUUUCUGACGUAUGACAGGUGCCCAAAAAAGAUCCUCUUUUCUUUUUACCAGGGAGGCCGGCCUGGUUUCAUGGGCAUGACUACCCUCCAGUUAGAAGGUCCUGGCACUUGGUUUAAUGUGCUGCAGUUGCUGUCUUGAAACUCUUAAUAAAUUUUGAACAACAGGUUAUGCAUUUUCAUCUUGCACUAGGCCUGCAAAUUAGGUAGCCUGUCCUGAGUUGAGGGCUAAUACGUGGCGUUUGUAUGUGUCAAAGUGAUCCUGUUGAUUGAAUAAGCACAGCCCAUUAGCACAAACUAACGUCUGAGUAUGGAAUGACCUCCUCUCCCAUACUGUGAAUUUCUUUUGUUUCCCCUCCUUUCCUUUUUGCAGUAAUGGAAAGAUGCUUGUGACAACUAUUCAUACCUUUAAGGAGGGAUGAGAGCUUACAUUCUGAAGACUGAGUCUUCCGACAGUGGGUACAAAAACCCUUAAGUGAA